rnacentral:tRNA from 1 species
GCCAGAGUGGCGAAAUUGGUAGACGCGCUAGCCUUAGGAGCUAGUGGGCGAAAGCCCGUGUGGGUUCGAAUCCCUUCUCUGGCA